rnacentral:rRNA from 1 species
UACAGAGGGGCAAGCGUUAUUCGGAAUUAUUGGGCGUAAAGGGCGCGUAGGCGGCCUGACAAGUGGAAGGUGAAAUCCCUCGGCUUAACCGAGGAACUGCCCUCCAAACUGUUUGGCUUGAGACCGGGAGAGGUGAGUGGAAUUCCCAGUGUAGCGGUGAAAUGCGUAGAUAUUGGGAGGAACACCAGUGGCGAAGGCGGCUCACUGGACCGGUACUGACGCUGAGGCGCGAAAGCCCAGGGA